rnacentral:rRNA from 1 species
GAUGAACGCUGGCGGCGUGCCUAAUACAUGCCAGUCGAGCGAACGGACGAGAAGCUUGCUUCUCUGAUGUUAGCGGCGGACGGGUGAGUAACACGUGGAUAACCUACCUAUAAGACUGGGAUAACUUCGGGAAACCGGAGCUAAUACCGGAUAAUAUUUUGAACCGCAUGGUUCAAAAGUGAAAGACGGUCUUGCUGUCACUUAUAGAUGGAUCCGCGCUGCAUUAGCUAGUUGGUAAGGUAACGGCUUACCAAGGCAACGAUGCAUAGCCGUCCUGAGAGGGUGAUCGGCCACACUGGAACUGAGACACGGUCCAGACUCCUACGGGAGGCAGCAGUAGGGAAUCUUCCGCAAUGGGCGAAAGCCUGACGGAGCAACGCCGCGUGAGUGAUGAAGGUCUUCGGAUCGUAAAACUCUGUUAUUAGGGAAGAACAUAUGUGUAAGUAACUGUGCACAUCUUGACGGUACCUAAUCAGAAAGCCACGGCUAACUACGUG